UACGGGGGGGGCAAGCGUUGUUCGGAAUUACUGGGCGUAAAGGGCUCGUAGGCGGCCAACUAAGUCGGAUGUGAAAUCCCCAGGCUCAACCUGGGAACUGCAUCCGAUACUGGAUGGCUUGAAUUCGGGAGAGGGAUGCAGAAUUCCAGGUGUAGCGGUGAAAUGCGUAGAUAUCUGGAGGAAUACCGGUGGCGAAGGCGGCAUCCUGGACCAAUUCUGACGCUGAGGAGCGAAAGCCAGGGGAGCAAACGGG
rnacentral:rRNA from 1 species